GGUAUUUUAAAUGAACUUGCGGUCACACUGCUGGCACGCUAGCAAAACAAGUGCACUCAAAAUAACCAUUUCAUUGCCACACAAUUAAAUAUUAAAAAAGAUAAUCAUGUGCACCGGCGGUUCUCCCAGCAGCAAUGGUUCCCAAGCCGGCGACAACGCCGAGAGCGAACAACAACAGCCAUCAGCAACGGAGCAGCAACAGCAGCAGGAACAGAUUCCACGAACAGCUGUUGAAGCCUCAACCCCAGAACAGAUUCUUGCCGAGUAUGGUGAAAAUUUAAAGAUCCUAACAUUGAACUCACAGGUGUCCGAGCUGCUCACAAUCAUUCGCGACAAGAAUACCACGCGUAGCGAUUUUAAAUUUUAUGCCGAUCGUUUGAUACGUUUGGUCAUCGAAGAAUCGCUGAAUCAGCUGCCCUACACUGACUGCGAUGUAGAAACGCCCACGGGUGCCAUCUACGAGGGUCUCAAAUAUCGCUCAGGGAAUUGUGGCGUCUCAAUUAUACGUUCCGGCGAAGCUAUGGAGCAGGGAUUACGCGAUUGCUGUCGCUCCAUACGCAUUGGCAAGAUUCUGGUUGAAUCUGAUGCAAAUACACACGAGGCACGUGUGGUGUACGCACGUUUUCCCGAUGACAUCGGCAGCCGUCAAGUGCUGCUCAUGUAUCCUAUUAUGUCCACUGGUAACACUGUGUUGCAAGCCGUAAAUGUGCUGAGGGAGCAUGGAGUGCCCGAGAAGUGCAUCAUACUUUCGAAUCUGUUCUGCACACCAAUUGCUGCACGGACUGUGGUGAAUGCGUUUCCCAAAAUGAAGAUUCUCACGUCGGAGCUGCAUCCGGUGGCGCCCAAUCAUUUUGGCCAGAAAUACUUUGGUACUGACUAGGAUAGCAAAGAAAAAGUCAAUAAAAGCAGCAGCAGCAAAAGCAACUUGACAACUAAGCUCUGCUUAGGAUAGAUGUCCUUUGAACUGGAAGGAGCAGCACAACUACUAUGAUUAGUACUUUAUUAUAUUAUAAUAAGCCUGCUAUAAUUUGGGCUCUUCAUUUAAAUCUCUAAAACGAAACGUGACUUGUUCAAAGCUAUUGUAAAUAAACAUAAAUAUGAUUUACCAUC